GAGCCUGUCUGGCGCACAUAGGUACUGCUAAUUCCUUAUGACCGUGGUUCAAUUCCGCGGCUUGCUCG
rnacentral:tRNA from 1 species